rnacentral:rRNA from 1 species
AUACGGAGGGUGCAAGCGUUAAUCGGAAUUACUGGGCGUAAAGCGCGCGUAGGCGGUUUAGUCAGUCAGAUGUGAAAGCCCCGGGCUCAACCUGGGAACUUCAUUUGAUACUGCUGAACUAGAGUAUGGUAGAGGGAAGUGGAAUUCCGGGUGUAGCGGUGAAAUGCGUAGAUAUCCGGAAGAACACCAGUGGCGAAGGCGACUUCCUGGACCAAUACUGACGCUGAGGUGCGAAAGCGUGGGUAGCAAACAGGAUUAGAUACCCCAGUAGUCC